UCAUCUAAUUUAUUUUAUAUGGUUAAUUUACUUGGAUCUACCAAUCCGUUCCAAAAAAGAAAUUGAUGUUGUAAACUAAAGUGAGUAUGCGAAUAUUGAAGUAGAAAAAAUAUAUGUGUUUGUAUUCAAACGAAGAAAAUUUUGCUCAUCGUCAAUUGGAAAAUAUUUUCGGAGCAUAUACAACAUGUAUGCUAGCCUGCGACCCUUCAUCAAGACUAUUGAGUUCAUAUGGGUUUCCGAACUGUGUCUGGUCACUAAGCUGGUUUGCAUCUUUAUGUUGAGCUUGGUGCUUACAUUGGCUGUUUUAAUCUAUCUGUCGAUGUUUGUGUUAUUAUUCACCACAAUUCAAUUUGUCCUAUCUAAUGGCUUGAACAUUACUUUUCCAAAAUAUUUGGAUCUAUUGAAACUAUUGGAACGCAUAAUUUAAGCUCAAAUCAAUACCUGUUUUCCGGCUUCCUAUUUUCGGAUGCUUCGCACAAUUUUUGUGGAAGGAUUUGAUCUUUUUGGAGCAACUCGGCUGCAUAAACCAAUUUUUAAUUAUGAGAAGACAGUUUUUUAAAUUAGAUUUCUCGAGAACCUUAAAAUGUUAAACAGUGAUAUAUCAAAAUCCUCUGUGAAAUUUGA